rnacentral:rRNA from 1 species
UACGUAGGUGGCAAGCGUUGUCCGGAUUUACUGGGCGUAAAGAGCGCGCAGGCGGUCGUUCAAGUCGCGUGUGAAAGCCCCCGGCUCAACUGGGGGGGUGGCACGCGAUACUGAUCGACUCGAAGGCAGGAGAGGGUAGUGGAAUUCCCGGUGUAGUGGUGAAAUGCGUAGAUAUCGGGAGGAACACCAGUGGCGAAGGCGACUACCUGGCCUGUUCUUGACGCUGAGGCGCGAAAGCUAGGGGAGCAAACGGG